rnacentral:rRNA from 1 species
GAUGAACGCUGGCGGCGUGCCUAAUACAUGCAAGUCGAGCGAACAGACGAGGAGCUUGCUCCUCUGACGUUAGCGGCGGACGGGUGAGUAACACGUGGAUAACCUACCUAUAAGACUGGGAUAACUUCGGGAAACCGGAGCUAAUACCGGAUAAUAUAUUGAACCGCAUGGUUCAAUAGUGAAAGACGGUUUUGCUGUCACUUAUAGAUGGAUCCGCGCCGCAUUAGCUAGUUGGUAAGGUAACGGCUUACCAAGGCAACGAUGCGUAGCCGACCUGAGAGGGUGAUCGGCCACCCUGGAACUGAGCAACGGUCCAGACUCCUACGGGAGGCAGCAGUAGGGAAUCUUCCGCAAUGGGCGAAAGCUUGACGGAGCAACGCCGCGUGAGUGAUGAAGGUCUUCGGAUCGUAAAACUCUGUUAUUAGGGAAGAACAAAUGUGUAAGUAACUAUGCACGUCUUGACGGUACCUAAUCAGAAAGCCACGGCUAACUACGUG